rnacentral:pre_miRNA from 1 species
AGUGGAAUUGCUGGGUCAUAUGGUAAUUCUUUGUUUAACUUUUUGAGGAACUGCCAACUGUUUUACACGGUGGCUGUACCAUUUUACAUUCCCACCAGCAAU